CAGCCGCCGCGGUAAUACGGAGGGUGCGAGCGUUAUUCGGAAUUACUGGGCGUAGAGGGCGCGUAGGCGGCCCCUUAAGUCAGGCGUGAAAGCCCGGGGCUAAACCCCGGAAGUGCGUCCGAAACUGGGGGGCUUGAGUACGGGAGAGGGAAGUGGAAUUCCUGGUGUAGAGGUGAAAUUCGUAGAUAUCAGGAGGAACAUCGGUGGCGAAGGCGACUUCCUGGACCGAUACUGACGCUGAGGCGCGAAAGCGUGGGUAGCAAACAGGAUUAGAGACCCUGGUAGUCCACGCUGUAAACGAUGAACACUAGGUGUAGCGGGUAUUGACUCCUGCUGUGCCGCAGCUAACGCAUAAAGUGUGCCGCCUGGGGACUACGGUCGCAAGGCUAAAACUCAAAGGAAUAGACGGGGGCCCGCACAAGCGGUGGAGCAUGUGGUUUAAUUCGACGCAACGCGAAGAACCUUACCUGGGCUUGACAUCCCAAGGAGCUCCUCGAAAGAGGAAUGUGCCCUUUGGGGAACUUGGUGACAGGUGCUGCAUGGCUGUCGUCAGCUCGUGUCGUGAGAUGUUGGGUUAAGUCCCGCAACGAGCGCAACCCUUGUCUUUAGUUGCCAUCAGUUCGGCUGGGCACUCUAGAGAUACUGCCUCGGUCAACGGGGAGGAAGGUGGGGAUGACGUCAAGUCCUCAUGGCCCUUAUGCCCAGGGCUACACACGUGCUACAAUGGGCUGUACAAAGGGCAGCGAACUCGCGAGGGUAAGCUAAUCCCAAAAAACAGUCCUCAGUUCGGAUUGGAGUCUGCAAUUCGACUCCAUGAAGUUGGAAUCGCUAGUAAUCGUGGAUCAGCAUGCCACGGUGAAUUCGUUCCCGGGCCUUGUACACACCGCCCGUCACACCACGAGAGUUGACUGUACCAGAAGUUGUUGGACCAACCCCAUUUUGGGGCGGUAGAUACCUAAGGUAUGGUUGGUGAUUGGGGUGAANUCGUAACAAGGUAACCGUA
rnacentral:rRNA from 1 species